rnacentral:rRNA from 1 species
CCUACGGGGAGCAGCAGUGGGGAAUAUUGGACAAUGGGCGAAAGCCUGAUCCAGCCAUGCCGCGUGUGUGAAGAAGGCCUUCGGGUUGUAAAGCACUUUCAGUGGGGAAGAAAGCCUUGGGGCUAAUACCCUCGAGGAAGGACAUCACCCACAGAAGAAGCACCGGCUAACUCCGUGCCAGCAGCCGCGGUAAUACGGAGGGUGCGAGCGUUAAUCGGAAUUACUGGGCGUAAAGCGCGCGUAGGCGGUCUGAUAAGCCGGUUGUGAAAGCCCCGGGCUCAACCUGGGAACGGCAUCCGGAACUGUCAGGCUAGAGUGCAGGAGAGGAAGGUAGAAUUCCCGGUGUAGUGGUGAAAUGCGUAGAGAUCGGGAGGAAUACCAGUGGCGAAGGCGGCCUUCUGGACUGACACUGACGCUGAGGUGCGAAAGCGUGGGUAGCAAACAGGAUUAGAUACCCUGGUAGUC